UACAGAGGAUGCAAGCGUUAUCCGGAAUGAUUGGGCGUAAAGCGUCUGUAGGUGGCUUUUUAAGUCCGCCGUCAAAUCCCAGGGCUCAACUCUGGACAGGCGGUGGAAACUACCAAGCUGGAGUACGGUAGGGGCAGAGGGAAUUUCCGGUGGAGCGGUGAAAUGCGUAGAGAUGUGGAGGAACACCGAUGGCGAAGGCAGCCCCCUGGGUCAAGAUUGACGCUCAUGCACGAAAGCGUGGGGAGCAAACAGG
rnacentral:rRNA from 1 species